rnacentral:rRNA from 1 species
GACAGAGGGGGCAAGCGUUAUUCGGAUUUACUGGGCGUAAAGGGCGCGUAGGCGGCUUGGUAAGUCUGGUGUGAAAACGCUACCGCUUAACGGAGCGAUUGCGCUGGAAACUGCCAAACUUGAGUUCGUGAGAGGUCGGUAGAAUACCUGGUGUAGCGGUGGAAUGCUUAGAUAUCAGGUAGAAUACCUGAGGCGAAGGCGACCGACUGGCACGACACUGACGCUGAGGCGCGAAAGCGUGGGGAGCGAACAGGAUUAGAUACCCUGGUAGUCCACGCUGUAAACGGUGUGCACUAGCCGUGGGGGGUACCCAUUCCCUCCGUGGCGCAGGUAACCUACUAAGUGCACCGCCUGGGGAGUACGGCCGCAAGGUUGAA